rnacentral:tRNA from 1 species
GGGGAUGUAGCUCAGUGGUAGAGUGUUGCCUAACAUGUGCAAAGCCCUGGGUUCAAUCCCUAACACCACA